rnacentral:rRNA from 1 species
GACGAACGCUGGCGGCGUGCUUAACACAUGCAAGUCGAACGGAAAGGCCCUGCUUUUGUGGGGUGCUCGAGUGGCGAACGGGUGAGUAACACGUGAGUAACCUGCCCUUGACUUUGGGAUAACUUCAGGAAACUGGGGCUAAUACCGGAUAGGAGCUCCUGCUGCAUGGUGGGGGUUGGAAAGUUUCGGCGGUUGGGGAUGGACUCGCGGCUUAUCAGCUUGUUGGUGGGGUAGUGGCUUACCAAGGCUUUGACGGGUAGCCGGCCUGAGAGGGUGACCGGCGACAUUGGGACUGAGAUACGGACCAGACUCCUACGGGAGGCAGCAGUGGGGAGUAUUGCACAAUGGGCGGAAGCCUGAUGCGGCAACGCCGCGUGCGGGAUGACGGCCUUCGGGUUGUAAACCGCUUUCGCCUGUGACGAAGCGUGAGUGACGGUAAUGGGUAAAGAAGCACCGGCUAACUACGUG